rnacentral:rRNA from 1 species
UGAGUUUGAUCCUGGCUCAGAUUGAACGCUGGCGGCGUGCUUAACACAUGCAAGUCGAGCGAGAAAGUUCUCUUCGGAGAAUGAGUAGAGCGGCGCACGGGUGAGUAACGCGUGGGUAAUCUGCCCUGAAGAUCGGGAUAACAGUUGGAAACGACUGCUAAUACCGGAUAUCCUGCAUAUUUAACUUUAUGUGGAAAAGAUGGCCUCUGUUUCAAGCUAUUGCUUCAGGAUGAGCCCGCGUCUCAUUAGAUAGUUGGUGGGGUAAUGGCCUACCAAGUCUACGAUGAGUAGCUGGUCUGAGAGGAUGAUCAGCCACACUGGGACUGAAACACGGCCCAGACUCCUACGGGAGGCAGCAGUGGGGAAUAUUGCGCAAUGGGGGAAACCCUGACGCAGCGACGCCGCGUGCGGGAAGAAGGCUUUCGGGUCGUAAACCGCUGUCAGGAGGGAAGAAACUGUUUAGUCAUAAUACGGCUAUUCACUGACGGUACCUCCAGAGGAAGCACCGGCUAACUCCGUGCCAGCAGCCGCGGUAAUACGGAGG